UGGUGUUGUGAAAUGUCAGCUUAAUUGCGGUAACGAACGAGACCUGGACGUACUAACUAGACACGGGAGACUUGCUAACAAGCGCUGGGGUUGGAGGCGGUGGUCCUUGCGGCUGCUGCGGAAGGCCUCGCGUGGUUUGUCUUCUGGGCGUCUUCUUAGAGGGACUGCAGUGGUUUCAACCCUGAGGAAGGUCCAGGCAAUAACA
rnacentral:rRNA from 1 species